rnacentral:rRNA from 1 species
AUUGAACGCUGGCGGCAGGCUUAACACAUGCAAGUCGAGCGAGCGGCGGACGGGUGAGUAAUAUCUGGGAAACUGCCUGGUGGCGGGGGAUAACUACAGGAAACGGUGGCUAAUACCGCAUACCCUCAGAUGUGCCCAGAUGGGGAUAGCUAGUAGGUGGGGUAAUGGCUCACCUAGGCGACGAUCCCUAGCUGGUCUGAGAGGAUGACCAGCCACACUGGAACUGAGAAACGGUCAAGACUCCUACGGGAGGCAGCAGUGGGGAAUAUUGCACAAUGGGCGCAAGCCUGAUGCAGCCAUCCCGCGUGUGUGAAGAAGGCCUUCGUGUUGUAAAGCACUUUCAGCGAGGAGGCGUUACUCGCAGAAGAAGCACCGGCUAACUCCGUGCCAGCAGCCGCGUUAAUAC